CUACGGGGUGCUCCAGGCGCGAAACCUUUACAAUGCACGCAAGUGUGAUAAGGGGAUCCUAAGUGCUCAUGCAAUGCAUGGGCUUUUGCCAAGAGUAAAUAUCUUGGAGAAUAAGUGGUGGGUAAGACUGGUGCCAGCCGCCGCGGUAACACCAGCGCCACGAGUGGCAUCCACGUUUAUUGGGCCUAAAGCGUCCGUAGCCGGUUAGGCAAAUCUGUUGUGAAAUCGUCAGGCUUAACCUGACGGCGCGCUUGAGACACUACCUGACUUGAGACCGGGAGGAGUCAGAGGUAUUCCAGGGGGAGCGGUAAAAUGUGAUAAUCCCUGGAGGAUCACCUAUGGCGAAGGCAUCUGACCAGAACGGAUCUGACGGUGAGGGACGAAGGCUAGGGGAGCGAUCCGGAUUAGAUACCCCCGUAGUC
rnacentral:rRNA from 1 species